AACAAACAAAACCUCUCAUACUAUCCCUAUUUCUUCUCUAUCUCGUGUCUCUAUUUCUUCUUUAUCUCUAUUCAUUUCUUUUUUUUUUUUCUUUCUUUUUUAGAUGAACAUGAACCAAUCAAAGCAUAACUAUCUCUCUCUCACAACCAAACCAAAAUGGUUUCAAAGUGUCACUUAUGUUGGAUCUACUACCACAAUAUCAUACUGGAAGCUUAUGCAAGAGGACACAUACUUAGAAAGGGUGUAUGCAACCACCUUGCACUGCUGGAAGGUAGUCAUACAAAGACAAUAAUGACAGGUAGUAGUGAUAUAAAGACAAGAAUGUUAGGUAGUAGACAUAAGAAGAUGGGGCUAAACAAUAAUGAUAGAUUUGAUUAGAGGCAAAGUCAGAAUUAACAAGGAGUUAUUAGGGUGGUUUGCAACAAUUUGGUGCUUCUGGUCGGAGAAGAAUAGGAUUCUAUUUGAAGGUGAUAUAUGAAUUAAUUAAUUAUGUAAUGAAGUUUCGAAGAUUAAUUAUGCGACAAUUUUUUUUGCAGUGUGUCA